AUGAGAUAGAAAUUUUUUUAU
rnacentral:piRNA from 1 species